CCAGGACUGCGCGGGUGGAGCCUGUCAAGCGCUCUGGUCUCGCGGGCCCUUGGAAGUCGCCUGCACCGCACCUGUUCGAGUUAUAAGGCAUUCCAGGUGUCCAGGUUUAAGUCUCCGUGGGGACCUGCGUGCCACCCGUCUCCCUGACAACACGGGGGAAGGUCUGGCCGAGUCUGGGGGCUCAGAGGCUUUCAGGGCUCUGGCCCUUUCCCGCAGUGCCGACGGCUCGCUCCAAACCUGUCCCCGCCCAGCUGCGGCAACAGAUGACAGUUGGCCCCAAGCGACGCAAAUGGUUACUAUUUAUCUCCAGACACGGAGAAUCCAUUUUAGCAUUGCCAGAGAGUCCUAUCCAGCUCAGACAGGGAUGCUUAAGACAGUGUUCAAGCUCGUGUGGAUUUUAAAUAAAUAUAAAAGAAGUUAUUUUUUUCAGACUUUAUUUAUUCAUGAGAGGCAAGACAUAGGCAGAUGGAGAAGGAGGCUUCCCCUGCAGGGAGCCGGAUGUGGGACUCCAGACCGCGACCUGAGCGGAAGGCAGACGCUCAACCACUGAGCUACCCAGGUGACCCUAAAAUAAAUUAUUUUUUAUGUUAACCCAUAGGACGCAAACCCAUGCUACAUCAGUCAAGGUAGAUCAGAUUUAGGGCUGUGAACUGUCCCGUCACUCACUAGAAUACUCCAAACAAAAGCAAUUGGUUCUAAUAGGGUUUCCCUAUGUCAGUAUUUUUCUUCUAAAGGGAAAUAUCCUCUGACUUAAAAAAAAAAAAAAUCCAUUGACAGCUGUUGGCCAUAUCAUUAUUUUUAUAACAUGGUACAGCACAUUUAUUUCCCGUAUUUCCUUAUUUCACAAAAAUGGAUUUCCUCUAAUGUCCUUGAUUUAGAACACUGCUUUGCAAUCCCACACCGGUUUGAACUGGAUUUGUUAGUUCAGAUUGACUCAGUUAAGGAGUGUGGAUUUCGUUGUUUUUUUUAAAUUUUUUAUUUAAUUUUAAGUUAUCAUGCAGUAAAAUGUACCCUUUUUGCCAAACAGUUCUUUGAGACCUGACAAGUUGAUAAUCAUGUAACCACCACCACAAUCAAGAUACAGAAUAGUUCCAUUUGCCCCCAGAGUUCCCUCAUGCUGACCCUUUGUGGUCUGUGCUUCCUCCUACCCACAUCCAUAACAGUGCCCCCUCUAUCCCUAAAGUUUUGUCUUUGUGUGAAUAUCAUUAUCAAUGAAUCAUCCUACGGCACACAACCUUUUGAGACUCACUCUUUCAUUUAGCAUAAUGCAUUUGAAUUUCAUCUGAAUCAAUACUUCGGUUCUUUUUAUUACUUUAUAUUCCAUUUUGAUGUGCCGUGAUUUAUCCAUUCACCAUUUGAAGGGCAGUCUCUGGCACUUAUGAAUAACACUGCUAUACAUGCUGGCAUACAGAUUCUGUAUCACUCUACAAUUUUUUUUCACUUGGGAGUAACAUUGUGGUUUUUGGUGCUAUUAGAAGGAUCCUGUCUGUAUAAUUCCUAUUUUUAAUUGCUCACAGCUAGUAUCUAAAAAUACUUUCUAUUUUUGUAUAUUACUUCAUAUCCUGUGAUCUGGCUAAAUUUGUAGUUCUAGGAACUACCUUGUAGAUUCCUUCUAACCACUAACUUUUAGCUAGAAUCCACAAACUCUGAUGUUAUAUUUUUUCAUUCAGUUUAAAAUAUUUUCUGAUUUUUUUCUUGUGACUUUUCUAUGACUCAUAGAUUACUUAGAAGUGUACUUUGUAAUUUCAAAAUGUUUUGGUGUUUCCCAGAUAUCUUACUGUAAUUGAUUAUUAGUUUAAUUUCAUUAUGACCAGAAAAUGUACUUUGCAAAAUUUUAAUUAUUUCAAGUUUGUUAAUGUUUGUUUUAUGACCCAAAAUAUGGCCUAUUGUGAUGAAUGUCUCAUGUGCACUUGAGAAGAAUGUGUAUCCUAUUGUUUUUGGAUAGAAUGUUUUAUAAAUCUAGAUUGAGUUGAUUUAUAGUUCAGGUCUUGUAUAUUUUGCUGAUUUUCUGCACUAAACAUUAUUAAUUAUUGAGAGAAGACUGUUGAAAUCUCCAGGAAUAAUUAUGAACUUUCUUUUUCAUUCUAUGAUGAUUUGUUCCAUGAAUUUAGAGCAGGCACAUUUAGGAAUGGUGUGCCUUCUUGGUGGUCUUUUUACUAUUAUGUAGUGUUCUUUUUGAUCCCCUAUUCAUCAUUUUUCUUUUGAAAUCUACUUUGUCUAUAUU
rnacentral:lncRNA from 1 species